rnacentral:rRNA from 1 species
ACAAUGGACGAAAGUCUGAUGGAGCAACGCCGCGUGAACGAUGAAGGCUUUCGGGUCGUAAAGUUCUGUUGUAAGGGAAGAACAAGUGCCGCAGGCAAUGGCGGCACCUUGACGGUACCUUGCGAGAAAGCCACGGCUAACUACGUGCCAGCAGCCGCGGUAAUACGUAGGUGGCAAGCGUUGUCCGGAAUUAUUGGGCGUAAAGCGCGCGCAGGCGGCCUCUUAAGUCUGAUGUGAAAGCCCCCGGCUCAACCGGGGAGGGCCAUUGGAAACUGGGAGGCUUGAGUAUAGGAGAGAAGAGUGGAAUUCCACGUGUAGCGGUGAAAUGCGUAGAGAUGUGGAGGAACACCAGUGGCGAAGGCGACUCUUUGGCCUAUAACUGACGCUGAGGCGCGAAAGCGUGGGGAGCAAACAGGAUUAGAUACCCUGGUAGUCCACGCCGUAAACGAUGAGUGCUAGGU